GCAGCGUGGGGGGUACAGUGUGGCCAGGGGUGCAGUGUGGGGGGUUCAGUGUGGCCGGGGGUGCAGUGUGGCUGGGGGUGCAGUGUGGCCGGGGGUGCAGUGUGGCUGGGAGUGCAACAUGGAGGGUUCAGUGUGGCCAGGGGUUCAGUGUUGCUGGGGGUGCAGUGCAGGGGGUACAGUGUGGCCAGGGGUGCAGCGUGGGAGGUACAGUGUGGCCGGGGGUGCAGCGCAGAGGGUGCAGUGUGGCCAGGGGUGCAGUGUGGCCAGGGGUGCAACACAGGGGGUGCAGUGUGGCCAGGGGUGCAGUGUGAUGAGGGGUGCAGCACGGGUGGCGCAGUGUGGCCGGGGGUGCAGUGUGGCUGGGGGUGCAGCGUGGCCGGGGGUGCAGUGUGGCUGGGGGUGCAGCGUGGCCAGGGGUGCAGUGUGGCUGGGGUUGCCGUGUGGCCAGGCAUGCAGCACGGAGGGGGCAGUGUGGCCAGGGGUACAGUGUGGCCAGGGGUGCAGUGUGGCAGGGGGUGCCAUGUGGCCAGGGGUGCAGUGUGGCCGGGGGUGCAGUGUGGCUGGGGGUGCGGUGUGGCUGGGGUGCAGUGUGGCCAGGGGUGCAGCACGGAGGGGGCAGUGUGGCCAGGGGUGCAGUGUGGCCAGGGCUGCAGUGUGGCCGGGGGUGCAGUGCCAGAGGUGCAGGCUGUCGGACGGACCCUUGUGGGCUGAGCCCCAGCCCUUGUUGGGCUCCUACUGGUCCCCUUGCUCUGGCAGGCUCCUUGUGCCUUCCUGGUCUCAAGGGGCCCCAGGGAUGAGUGGUCCUGGGUUAGUGUGGGCUCCAACCGCUAAGGUGUUAUUGACAGGGCUGGGGAAACAGCAGCCCCAGCCUCUGAUCAUGGAGCUGUCCAGGGGCUGGAAACCCAGGUGUCCAUGUGGCAUCAGUAAGCGGGGCCGGGGCACUAGGACUGACCGGGCUCUGUCACUAGGAACAGGGGUCUCGCACUUGGGCCAGGGGGUUCUCACCAGGACCAGGGGCCUGUCAGUCACUAGGGCCGGGACCUGUCCCUUGGGCCUGGAGCCUGUUACUAGGACCUGGGGUCUGUCACUAGGGCCGGGGUCUGCCCCUUGGGCCUGGAGCCUGUAACUAGGGCCUGGGAUCUCUGUCACUAGGGCCAGCUGCUGUUUUAAAGGUAGCAGCAGCCUGGGUGCUCCCUUGUUCACUGCCCACGCCCACGCGGGGGUGGCGCCGACAGAGCCUACACAACUGCUCUCCACGUGGAUGGCUGUGGGGUGGCUGAGCCUUGCUGGCAGAGGAGGCUGGUGGACAGGCCGUGCUCACAUCAUCAGCAGUGCCGGGUCAGAGGUGGAGGCAGGAGCCACGGAGUCAGUGGGAGCUACCAACCCUCUCAGCUCAUCACCACUCCCUGGGGCCUGAGACCUCAGAGCCAGCCCUCGGCCCUGCUCAGGCUCUGGCCUCCCUGAGAACCUCUGUCCUGGUCACAAGUGUCCUGCAGGCCCCCUCGGUUGUGCUGGGCUGGACCAGGCCAGGGCGUGACCUCUGACAGCUCCACCUGCUCUGGAGAAGCCACCAGCAGCUUCUCCAGCUGCACCCACUGACCCCCAGAGCUCGCUCGCAGGCAGGUGCCCAUGGUGGGACAGUUGCUUGUGCCUCAGUCUCCUCAUCCUUGAAGGGGUACAGCCCCCUCCCCAUCUCCCUCGCACCCGAUGGCCUCAUGCAGGCACAGCCCGAGGGAGAACCUGUCUCUGCGGAGAAAGACUCUGUGAUGGCAGCCAAUUGGAUUCCACCAGAACCCGAGGGCAAGCAUUCCUCGGGAAGUGACCAGGCUGGGAGCAUCAGGCACGCACACCACACACUCAACCCAAACCUUCUCUUAACUCAGGUUCCCAGGAGCCCGGCGUGCUUCUGCCUGGCAGGGGCCGACGCUCGUGCCCUGGAGAACUCCCUGUUCAGGGAUGACAGUGGGUUCCCUGGUGAUUUGGAGGCCUGGGGCCUGGGUGGGAGCUUCUCCCUCUACCCCUGGAGACACUGCCCAGGAGUCCAACGUGCUGUGACUGCAGGAUGCCCCUGGCAGGGGCCAUGCUGGCUCAGACGCCUCUCACCAACCCCUUCCUUCCAUGCCCUCGGGGCCUGUCAGGCAGUCAGAGCUCCCAAUCAGAACAAAGCCGGCAGUUUUGAGUCUGUGCACAUCCCCCUGCAGCGCAAGAUGCAGGAUGAUCAGUGGCUCCAGCCCAGCAUCCCCACGGCACACUUGAGAGCACACCCCACCCAGAGGCCAGACAGGUGCACACGGCCAGGGCCGCCCCAGGACACACGUCCAGAGAGGUCACAGUCCUGAAAGGUCACGGUCCUGAGAGGUCACCAUCCUGAGAGGUCCUCAGUCCAGAGAGGUCACCAGUUCUGAGAGGUCACUGUCCUGAGGGGUCACUGGUCCAGAGGUCAUCACUCUUGAGAGUCACUGGUUGAUCCUGAGAGGUCAUUGGUCCAGAGGGAUCACUAGGAUGGGGUCUCCAGGCCUGGGCUGAGGCUCUGCCCCACAGAAGACCUGAGGUCGGGCUCCUGCUCUUCAGGGACCCUGAGGGCUAGAGCCAAGCCCAGGCUGAGUGCAGUCCCCAAGGAAGUGGGAGGAGGAGGGCAGGGUGGAGUCCUGUGGCAGCAUCCCCAGCACACCACACUUCUAUCCUGGUCAUCUCACAUGGCGUCCUCCGGCCAUCCUGCACUGGGCCACUCGGGACCCCUGCCACUCACCACAACCGCAUGGCCUCAGACCUGGGCAGGACAGGGCAGGCUUUGCACUCUCCUAAGGCUCAUGGGGUGGGAGGGCCCCUGCACAAGGAGCCUUCCGGUAAGGGGGGCAGGGGAGCAGGGGCUGUGUGGCCCUGGCCACCUCCACUCACCCUCCCUCCGCCCUCAGAAGAAGAGAGAUGGCUGCGGAGGAGCUUCUUGGGUCAACAGGGUGCACCCAGCCCCCGGUGCCCUCUGCCUCU
rnacentral:lncRNA from 1 species